rnacentral:rRNA from 1 species
UUUGAUCCUGGCUCAGAACGAACGCUGGCGGCGCGGCUAAGACAUGCGAGUCAAACGGUACCGAUUAUUUAUAAUCGGGAUAGUGGCGAAAGGGUUAGUAAUAGAUAGGUAACGUACCCUGUGCUUCGGAAUAGCGUCAUUCGCCUUCGGGCGAAUUUCCGAAAGGGACGGUAAUACCGAAUAAUAUCAGUUGUCGAUGGGCAACUGAUCAAAGAUUUAUCGGCAUUGGAGCGGCCUAUCUCCUAUCAGCUUGUUGGUGAGGUAACGGCUCACCAAGGCAGCGACGGGUAGCGGGACUGAGAGGUCGGCCCGCAACAUCGGGACUGAGACACUGCCCGGACCUCCACGGAGGGCUGCAGUAACGAAUAUUGCGCAAUGGGCGAAAGCCUGACGCAGCGACGCCGCGUGCGGGAGGAAGUCCUUCGGGAUGUAAACCGCUGUCAGGGGUAAGAAAGUCCGCUUCGGCGGAUUGAUCUAACCCAAAGGAAGUCACGGCUAACUUCGUGCCAGCAGCCGCGGUAAGACGAAGGUGGCGAGCGUUGUUCGGUGUUACUGGGCUUAAAGCGUGUGUAGGCGGGUUGGUUAGCGUCUUGUGAAAUCCCUCGGCUUAACCGAGGAAUGGCUGGGCGAACUGCCAACCUUGAGGCAGGCAGGGGCGCAUGGAACUCUUGGUGGAGCGGUGGAAUGCGUAGAUAUCAAGAGGAACGCCGAUGGAGAAAUCAGUGCGCUGGGCCUGUCCUGACGCUGAUACACGAAAGCGUGGGGAGCGAACGGGAUUAGAUACCCCGGUAGUCCACGCUGUAAACGAUGUCUACUAGGUUGUGGAGGUUCUGACACCUGCACGGCCGAAGCAAAAGUGUUAAGUAGACCGCCUGGGGAGUACGGUCGCAAGGCUAAAACCCAAAGGAAUUGACGGGGGCUCACACAAGCGGUGGAGCAUGUGGAUCAAUUCGAAGCAACGCGCAGAACCUUACCUGGGUUUGACAUGCUUGGAUGCUUGCCGAGAAACCGGUUAAGCUGCCCUUCGGGGUGAAACUUGCACAUGUGCUGCAUGGCUGUCGUCAGCUCGUGUC